GAAGUUAAUAUUAAGGGUAUCGUCGAGAGUUAUGAAUAAAAGUGAAGGAGAAAGAUUAAUGAGUAAGGGAAGGGGAAAGUAAGAUAAACCUUUCAUUUGUUUGAGAGUGAGAAAUAAUGGAAAUUCUUUCUAGAACAUCCAUUCCUUUGACCUAGCCAACAGGCCCAUAACCCACGAAGCCCAUGUUUGGUUAACAGCUGCAACCCUAAAAAUUUAUCUAUUAAUGGGAUCAACAAUGAGACAUGUUUGGCGUCUGAGACAUUGUGAAGCAGAGGAAUCAAAGUCUUCAACAACAAACCUCUCCAGAAAGCCGAAAGGAUUAUAAAUUGAAGAUCUUUUGGUUCGCAGAAAGGCUGAAAACAAUUGAAUCUUUUGUAUUUGUUUAAGAAAAUGAACGAUGUUUUAUUCUUAGUUCUUUUCUCAUCAAGAUUCGUACAUUACUUGUUUUUUAUUAUGUAAUUCAGAGCUUAAGUGUAAAACUCUCUAAUUUUUAAAUUUUCUGUUUAAAAGUGUCUACAAAAUAAAGUUGUUACAUGGUUAUUCAUGUGACUUGAAUUUCCUUCUUGUUUUCUGAUUCUUCAAUUAUGAAGUUUGUGCUAUUGUAAUUUAUAUACAUCUAAAAUUCUGCUGCAAAAAAAGUGUAUAUUGUUUUGUAAACUAGUUAUUAUUGUAAGACAUUAGAGAAAAAGAUGAUGCAUUUGAUCCACAUUAUUUGGUGAUAAAUACAAACAUAAGCUAUUUAUUCUUUUUGAAGCAGAAAAUAAAAGCAACUUGACAAGAGUAAUGUCACAUGAACAAUCCCCGUAUUGAAAUGAAACCAGAAAAGAGUGAGUUUAAUCAGUAGAACCAUACAAUGCCCCCACUUUCCAUUCCAAUAAUUCAUAUAAUGUUUAAUUUUCAUAAGUUUUAGAUGAACAUGUUCCAAAAUAUUCCAACACACCCUAAAAUUGCAACUUUGCAAGUACCAAAUUUAGUCCCUAUUAGACUAAUAGGGACUAAAUUUGGUUCUCCAAUAUUCUAAAAAGAAAGAGAUCAUUAAAGAUGUUCAAAUUGGUGAUGGGAAACCUUGAUAAACUAGUGAAAUUAGUCAAGAGCAUUAGAUAGAAAAAUCGGGUCGCGGCAGAUGAGGUAUGACAUUUUACCAUCUUCAAAAAUGAGAGAAUUUGGUUCCAUGCAAUCCAUGUUAAAAAGCAGGGAUGUGGUACAUUAGGCAUUGCACUGCCACAUUCUGAAAUUUGUUUCUUUAGAAUUUGACAUUAAGAUGUGUUCAUAACUCUCUAGUGUUCAUAGUUCACACUUUAUAGACAUUCUGACAUGCAUUCUUUUAAUAAUACAGACUAUAGACAUAGGUUAUGGUUCCCUUAAUUUGAUUUUUUUAAUAAAAAAAUUGUCUCAUCCUAGUGUUAGAGCUUGCCUCAAGGCUCC